rnacentral:rRNA from 1 species
CAUACACAUGCAAGUCGAGCGGGGAAAGGUAGCUUGCUACCUGACCUAGCGGCGGACGGGUGAGUAAUGCUUAGGAAUCUGCCUAUUAGUGGGGGACAACAUCUCGAAAGGGAUGCUAAUACCGCAUACGUCCUACGGGAGAAAGCAGGGGACCUUCGGGCCUUGCGCUAAUAGAUGAGCCUAAGUCGGAUUAGCUAGUUGGUGGGGUAAAGGCCUACCAAGGCGACGAUCUGUAGCGGGUCUGAGAGGAUGAUCCGCCACACUGGGACUGAGACACGACCCAGACUCCUACGGGAGGCAGCAGUGGGGAAUAUUGGACAAUGGGGGGAACCCUGAUCCAGCCAUGCCGCGUGUGUGAAGAAGGCCUUUUGGUUGUAAAGCACUUUAAGCGAGGAGGAGGCUACCGAGAUUAAUACUCUUGGAUAGUGGACGUUACUCGCAGAAUAAGCACCGGCUAACUCUGUGCCAGCAGCCGCGGUAAUACAGAGGGUGCAAGCGUUAAUCGGAUUUACUGGGCGUAAAGCGCGCGUAGGUGGCCAAUUAAGUCAAAUGUGAAAUCCCCGAGCUUAACUUGGGAAUUGCAUUCGAUACUGGUUGGCUAGAGUAUGGGAGAGGAUGGUAGAAUUCCAGGUGUAGCGGUGAAAUGCGUAGAGAUCUGGAGGAAUACCGAUGGCGAAGGCAGCCAUCUGGCCUAAUACUGACACUGAGGUGCGAAAGCAUGGGGAGCAAACAGGAUUAGAUACCCUGGUAGUCCAUGCCGUAAACGAUGUCUACUAGCCGUUGGGGCCUUUGAGGCUUUAGUGGCGCAGCUAACGCGAUAAGUAAACCGCCUGGGGAG